rnacentral:rRNA from 1 species
AGUGAACGCUGGCGGCAGGCCUAACACAUGCAAGUCAAGCGGCAGCGCGGGGGCAACCCUGGCGGCGAGCGGCGGACGGGUGAGGAAUACAUCGGAAUCUGCCUUGUUGUGGGGAAUAACGUAGGGAAACUUACGCUAAUACCGCAUGAGACCGUAAGGUGAAAGUGGGGGAUCGCAAGACCUCACGCGACAAGAUGAGCCGAUGUCGGAUUAGCUAGUUGGUGGGGUAAUGGCCUACCAAGGCGACGAUCCGUAGCUGGUCUGAGAGGAUGAUCAGCCACACUGGGACUGAGACACGGCCCAGACUCCUACGGGAGGCAGCAGUGGGGAAUAUUGGACAAUGGGCGAAAGCCUGAUCCAGCCAUGCCGCGUGGGUGAAGAAGGCCUCGGUUGUAAGACC